rfam:Aedes albopictus isolate Foshan contig6432, whole genome shotgun sequence.
UGCCCAGCAACUCCUCUCCCUGCCGCCGCGUGGUAUCGGCUGGAAACUACGAGCAACCUUAGGAAAGAUUGGGUAACCAACCCCGGUGGAAACUUUGUGUGUAGGCUGACAGGGAAGG